rnacentral:rRNA from 1 species
UAGGGCCAUAUCACGUUGAAACAUCGGUUCCCUUAUGCUCACCGAAGUUAAGCAACAUCGAGUCUGGUCAGUACCUAGACGGGUGACUGUAUGAGAAUACCAGGUGCUAUA